ensembl:lncRNA
GGGGGGGGGGGGGCGACUCAACGCCGCCGGCGAGUCCCCACGAUGCGAGUGUGCAAACACGUUCAUGCCCUCACAAGACGGAGACAUGUAUGUAAAUACGUCCACUCCGUGUAAACGGCGCGUUAAAUAGGCGGUUAGUGGGCGAGACCACCAGACGGAGGAUCACCAGAAGCUCCUUCAGUACAUCCUCCAGCAGAGACCAGUCCACUGAGGACAGACCCACAUCCUCCAGCAGAGACCAGUCCACUGAGGACAGACCCACAUCCUCCAGCAGAGACCAGUCCACCGAGGACAGACCCGAAUCCUCCAGCAGAGACCAGUCCACCGAGGACAAGACCCACAUCCUCCAGCAGAGACCAGUCCACCGAGGACAGACCCGAAUCCUCCAGCAGAGACCAGUCCACCGAGGACAAGACCCACAUCCUCCAGCAGAGACCAGUCCACCGAGGACAGACCCACAUCCUCCAGCAGAGACCAGUCCACCGAGGACAGGCCCGAAUCCUGCAGCAGAGACCAGUCCACCGAGGACAAGACCCACAUCCUCCAGCAGAGACCAGUCCACCGAGGACAGACCCACAUCCUCCAGCAGAGACCAGUCCACCGAGGACAGACCCGAAUCCUCCAGCAGAGACCAGUCCACCGAGGACAGACCCGAAUCCUCCAGCAGAGACCAGUCCACCGAGGACAGACCCACAUCCUCCAGCAGAGACCAGUCCACCGAGGACAGACCCGAAUCCUCCAGCAGAGACCAGUCCACCGAGGACAGACCCGAAUCCUGCAGCAGAGACCAGUCCACCGAGGACAAGACCCACAUCCUCCAGCAGAGACCAGUCCACCGAGGGACAGACCCACAUCCGGGCUCCACCGCAGUUCUCGGACCUGCAGUCGGCGCACCCGGACUCUGCUCCCGGUAGCGUCUCCUCCUCCUCCAGGA